rnacentral:rRNA from 1 species
UAGGGAAUCUUCGGCAAUGGACGAAAGUCUGACCGAGCAACGCCGCGUGAGUGAAGAAGGUUUUCGGAUCGUAAAACUCUGUUGUUAGAGAAGAACAAGGACGUUAGUAACUGAACGUCCCCUGACGGUAUCUAACCAGAAAGCCACGGCUAACUACGUGCCAGCAGCCGCGGUAAUACGUAGGUGGCAAGCGUUGUCCGGAUUUAUUGGGCGAAAAGCGAGCGCAGGCGGUUUCUUAAGUCUGAUGUCAAAGCCCCCGGCUCAACCGGGGAGGGUCAUUGGAAACUGGGAGACUUGACUGCAGAAGAGGAGAGUGGAAUUCCAUGUGUAGCGGUGAAAUGCGUAGAUAUAUGGAGGAACACCAGUGGCGAAGGCGGCUCUCUGGUCUGUAACUGACGCUGAGGCUCGAAAGCGUGGGGAGCAAACAGG